UGAGACACGGUCCAGACUCCUACGGGAGGCAGCAGUAGGGAAUCUUCCGCAAUGGGCGAAAGCCUGACGGAGCAACGCCGCGUGAGUGAUGAAGGUCUUCGGAUCGUAAAACUCUGUUAUUAGGGAAGAACAUAUGUGUAAGUAACUGUGCACAUCUUGACAGUACCUAAUCAGAAAGCCACGGCUAACUACGUGCCAGCAGCCGCGGUGAUACGUAGGUGGCAAGCGUUAUCCGGAAUUAUUGGGCGUAAAGCGCGCGUAGGCGGUUUUUUAAGUCUGAUGUGAAAGCCCACGGCUCAACCGUGGAGGGUCGUUGGAAACUGGAAAACUUGAGUGCAGAAGAGGAAAGUGGAAUUCCAUGUGUAGCGGUGAAGUGCGCAGAGAUAUGGAGGAACACCAGUGGCGAAGGCGACUUUCUGGUCUGUAACUGACGCUGAUGUGCGAAAGCGUGGGGAUCAAACAGGAUUAGAUACCCUGGUAGUCCACGCCGUAAACGAUGAGUGCUAAGUGUUAGGGGGUUUCCGCCCCUUAGUGCUGCAGCUAACGCAUUAAGCACUCCGCCUGGGG
rnacentral:rRNA from 1 species